rnacentral:rRNA from 2 species
UUAAUUUUGAACGAGUGGCGGACGGGUGAGUAACACGUGGGUAACCUGCCCUUAAGUGGGGGAUAACAUUUGGAAACAGAUGCUAAUACCGCAUAAAUCCAAGAACCGCAUGGUUCUUGGCUGAAAGAUGGCGUAAGCUAUCGCUUUUGGAUGGACCCGCGGCGUAUUAGCUAGUUGGUGAGGUAACGGCUCACCAAGGCAAUGAUACGUAGCCGAACUGAGAGGUUGAUCGGCCACAUUGGGACUGAGACACGGCCCAAACUCCUACGGGAGGCAGCAGUAGGGAAUCUUCCACAAUGGACGCAAGUCUGAUGGAGCAACGCCGCGUGAGUGAAGAAGGCUUUCGGGUCGUAAAACUCUGUUGUUGGAGAAGAAUGGUCGGCAGAGUAACUGUUGUCGGCGUGACGGUAUCCAACCAGAAAGCCACGGCUAACUACGUGCCAGC